CUCCGUAAGCCCCUGCCACACCCCUUCCACCGUUGCCGCCAAGGAGGCAGCUAUACCCACCGACGCUGCGCUGGCUGACGCACGAGCACUCUCUCGGUCUGCGGCACUUCCAGCCCGGAGACGCCAUCGAAGCAAUGAACGCGGAGGAGUGUCAGGCAAGCCAGCGUUUCUCAGACGGGAGCGGUGAGGCAACUUUCUCUCAAACACACGAGGACGAGAGUAUUGCGCGGAAGGGGUCUUCGGGUACUGCGGCCGCGGCGGAUGCCGUACACACGAGCGACAGCGUACGCCCUCGCAUAGCGAACUCAAAAUCCGGCGGCACUGGUGCGUCGGUGAAGGCGCGCAGCCUAGCAGCUGGUCAGGUGAACCGGGUCGUGCAUGGGGCACUGCCAGAGGGCAUGUCAGUGUCUCGAGACGCCCGCGUAGCGCUGCAGAAGUCCGCCACAAUCUCAGUUCUCUAUCUUGCCUGCCUGGGUGACGCCAGCCGCAAAGCCACCGGAUCUACGCGCACCACGCUGAAUGUGCAGGACAUCCGCGGAGCCAUGAAAGCGGCGGGGAUGGCCCACCUUCUGCCGCUCAUGUCAACGGCAGCGAAACGCGGGCGGGACUGAGUGAGGCUUUGUAGAGCCGCGUGGCGCUUGCUAUCAUAGAAGUAGCAUAGAAAGUGGAAUCGAAAUCUUCUGGCGUCGCUGUGGAAUAGAAUGAAGAGCAGAGAGGGGCAGUGCGCCUCGGAUGCGGCUGACGCUUGCGCAUAGCGGGUUCGUCUGCCCACCCGAGCUGCAAGAUGCUGUGCAUUCCGUACGAGUGGUGGAAGGUGAGGAAAAUAGAGAACGGCAGGCGACUUCCGCACAUGCGUGUGCGCUCCUUUCGUCGUCGGCGCCUCCGCGGGUGUGCGCGCGUGUGUGCUUUUCUCUGUGUUGCUGCCGUUGCAUCCGCUUCCGCUGCGAAACAAGAGCGCGGCGGGCUUCUUCGGAGAUGGAGGACAAACCGUGGGGGUGGCGAACGCGCCUUUCAUGCCUCUGGCAUGCAGACGGACUUUUUGCGCGAAGCGAUCCAGGAGUCGGGGCAGCGGUGCGGACUUGUCUCAGCGAGAAAGGUGCUGCAAGGCGCAUGGCAGACGGCGCACUCUCAGCGGACCAGCCGACGUGCAGGACGGGUCCUACGUAACGCUGCGGCGGUACCUGGGGUAUUGGUCGCCAUCUUACGAUGAAGGACGUGGCCACGCGGGAUGUCGUCGCCGCGGUCCUCCACGGGAGGAGAGGAGGCUACGAGCAAGUGCCCCAGAGCAGCAGGGCCUCGCGAUUAGUGAAACGCAGUUGCUGCGCCCUUUUCGUGAAAAAGGAGGGAAAGUUCCACUGGUGCUGCUGCGAGUGGAGGAAUGCCCACCCACCUGCGCCCCCCCCCUCCCCCAAAAAAAGGCGACAAGGUUGUGCGAUGAAGAGAGAAUUGUGAGGAUGGAAGCGCGGCAUCAUAACUCCGAAAGGUUCUGCAACUGCGCUUAGCGCCCCAUGCUUCGAUAGGCCUUGGCCGCUCUGCGAGCUUCACGCACCUUCAGAAAACUGUAGGAAGGCAGGCGCAUAUCUCACUAGAGUCAUGCAGAUGGGCAGGCUGGAACCCGCGCAAAAGGAUGAAAUUAUGCGCGAGUAAUCUCUUGGGCGUGACGCGCACGGCGCGCAUACGUUUGCGGCCGAGGAAAAGGAAGGCGGACACAGACGCAUAACAGAGUUGAACUUUGAGCGCUGUCUGCACCAGCGAGUGCUGCCCCCCGCCUGACCUGCCCGACUCGGAAAGAAAGCGGGCAUAUCUUGAACAGGCGCAAGUGGCGUUUGCGCGCUGGAUUUCGAUGCGUAUUAUGACGCUGUCCUCUUACCUGGGAAUAGGAGAGCGAAGUGCAUUGUCCGGAGGAGUGGUGAAUACGGCCGACUGCGCACAACUCCAACAAGGGGAAGAUGGGGCGUGACGGUGAGCCAGUCGAUUACACGGGUGUGGGGUGAUAUCGAUAUUUUGCGCAGCAUCAUACCAUGUCUUGACAGCAUCGUGAUUGCAUCGCCGCCAGCUAGGCAGGCCGAGCUUCUCGACAUGGUAGGCAAGGGGCUACUACGUAUUGGCGUAGUUAAUCUGCUCACCGCCCCAAACCGAGAACCGCCUCUAGAGGCAGAUGAUACCGAGCUGCUGCGUAUUGGAAAU
rnacentral:misc_RNA from 1 species